GCUUACACAUGCAAGUCGAACGAUGACGGUGGUGCUUGCACCGCCUGAUUAGUGGCGAACGGGUGAGUAACACGUGAGUAACCUGCCCUCCACUUCGGGAUAACCUCGGGAAAUCGUGGCUAAUACCGGAUACGAGCACUCAUCGCAUGGUGGGUGUUGGAAAGAUUUAUCGGUGGGGGAUGGACUCGCGGCCUAUCAGUUUGUUGGUGAGGUGAUGGCUCACCAAGACGAUGACGGGUAGCCGGCCUGAGAGGGCGACCGGCCACACUGGGACUGAGACACGGCCCAGACUCCUACGGGAGGCAGCAGUGGGGAAUAUUGCACAAUGGGCGAAAGCCUGAUGCAGCGACGCCGCGUGGGGGAUGACGGCCUUCGGGUUGUAAACCCCUUUCAGUAGGGAAGAAGCGAGAGUGACGGUACCUGCAGAAGAAGCGCCGGCUAACUACGUGCCAGCAGCCGCGGUAAUACGUAGGGCGCAAGCGUUGUCCGGAAUUAUUGGGCGUAAAGAGCUUGUAGGUGGCUUGUCGCGUCUGCCGUGAAAACCCGAGGCUCAACCUCGGGCGUGCGGUGGGUACGGGCAGGCUAGAGUGUGGUAGGGGAGACUGGAACUCCUGGUGUAGCGGUGAAAUGCGCAGAUAUCAGGAAGAACACCGAUGGCGAAGGCAGGUCUCUGGGCCAUUACUGACACUGAGAAGCGAAAGCAUGGGUAGCGAACAGGAUUAGAUACCCUGGUAGUCCAUGCCGUAAACGUUGGGCACUAGGUGUGGGGGACAUUCCACGUUUUCCGCGCCGUAGCUAAC
rnacentral:rRNA from 1 species